CACUGAAAACAUCACUCGCGAUCCCUAGCUACCAUUCCCUUCAUCACCCCCAAAUCAGAGAAGACCACUGACGGCGUCACUGCUCACGGCGUCACCAUCUCCACCACUCACUCAUCUUCAUCACUCACCUCUCACCACGCCGCCACUCAUCUUCAUCACCGGUUCUCUUCGCUGCGCGCUGACAUCAGGAAGAUCGACUCUGCGCUCGACUAAAAGCUUCUCUUUAUUCGCUCACCGUCGUCAAGAAAGGAGAACUCAGAAUUUGCUGGUUUUAUUCUGUUAUUGCUGCGGCGCAGCAGAACUCAUGAAUUUGGGAUUGUUGCGAGAUCGAACUCGUGAAUUUGGGAUUGGGGUUUCAUUCCAUUUACGCAGGAUAAUUCUGAAGAUACAAAUGAAGAUUGAGAUGCUUAUCAUGAUGGUUUAUUGACAAAGAUGGAAAUUGAAAGAUGUAUGGUUGAUGAUGAUGUCUUUUAUUAGAAGCUAAGAUACAUUUAUAUGAUAUAAUAUUUUGAUUUUUCCUAGUUUAUUAGUAGUAAACUCUAAGUGCAUUAUAUGAGUAUACUUAUUCUAGUUUGAGAUGUAUGAAUGCUCAAAAUUAUGAUCAUUCCAAUAUUUUUGGUUCAUUG